rnacentral:rRNA from 1 species
GGGAAUAUUGGACAAUGGGCGAAAGCCUGAUCCAGCCAUGCCGCGUGAGUGAUGAAGGCCUUAGGGUUGUAAAGCUCUUUUAGCAGGGAAGAUAAUGACGGUACCUGCAGAAAAAGCCCCGGCUAACUUCGUGCCAGCAGCCGCGGUAAUACGAAGGGGGCUAGCGUUGCUCGGAAUUACUGGGCGUAAAGCGCACGUAGGCGGACUCUUAAGUCGGUGGUGAAAUCCUGGAGCUCAACUCCAGAACUGCCUUCGAUACUGGGAGUCUUGAGUUCGGGAGAGGUGAGUGGAACUGCGAGUGUAGAGGGGAAAUUCGUAGAUAUUCGCAAGAACACCAGUGGCGAAGGCGGCUCACUGGCCCGAUACUGACGCUGAGGUGCGAAAGCGUGGGGAGCAAACA